rnacentral:misc_RNA from 1 species
GAUGAAGAACGCAGCGAAAUGCGAUAAGUAGUGUGAAUUGCAGAAUUCAGUGAAUCAUCGAAUCUUUGAACGCACAUUGCGCCCCUUGGUAUUCCAUGGGGCAUGCCUGUUCGAGCGUCAUUUGUACCUUCAAGCUUUGCUUGGUGUUGGGUGUUUGUCUCGCCUUUGCGUGUAGACUCGCCUUAAAAUAAUUGGCAGCCGGCGUAUUGAUUUCGAAGCGCAGUACAUCUCGCGCUUUGCACUCAUAACGACAGCGUCCAAAAGUACAUUUUACACUCUUGACCUCGGAUCAGGUAGGGAUACCCGCUGAACUUAAGCAUAUCAAUAAGCGGAGA